AUUGAACGCUGGCGGCAGGCCUAACACAUGCAAGUCGAGCGGGAGGCGGGCGGGUGAGUAAUGUCUGGGAAACUGCCUGAUGGAGGGGGAUAACUACUGGAAACGGUAUCUAAGACCGCAUACCAUCAGAUGUGCCCACAUGGGAUUAGCUGGUGGGGGGGGUAACGGCCCACCUAGGCGACGAGCCCUAGCUGGUCUGAGAGGAUGACCAGCCACACGGGAACUGAGACACGGACAAGACUCCUACGGGAGGCAGCAGUGGGGAAUAUGGCACAAUGGGCGCAAGCCUGAUGCAGCCAUGCAGAGUGUGUGAAGAAGGCCUUCGGGUUGGAAAGCACUUUCAGCGGGGAGGCGGUACCCGCAGAAGAAGCACCGGCUAACUCCGUGCCAGCAGCCGCGGUAAUAC
rnacentral:rRNA from 1 species